GCUAUAUAAAAGUAAUGUUAGAUAAUAUUAUGUUAUUGUAUUGUGUGAUAUUGAAUUGAAUUGUGUUUCACAAAAUCCAAAAUGGCCGCGAAUAUUGUGGUUUUAUUUCUAGUGAUUGUUAUGUUAUUGGAUGUUAUCAGCGCUCAUUGGCUCCCAGGUUAUGGAUAUGGGUAUGGCCGACCUCGAGGAUUAUAUGGCAGAUAUGGUGGAUUUGGUGGGUUUGGUGGGUUUGGUUUCUACCCUCCUCCCCCACCGCUCUUCUUUCCGCCUCCCCCACCCCCAUUUUUUGGUUAACAUUGUCUUAGUGAAGCAACAUGACUACCGUGCACUUGGCUAAGGACUAGACCAGAAACAAACAAGAGUGAGGCAAAUUCGAAGAAUUUGUUGAUUUUGAGAAAUUAUAUUAUUUAUACUCUAAUCAUAUAUGUAUUUUGUAUGUUAUUGAUAUUCAUUCAAAACAAAACAAAGCUUAUUACUGUACUUACAAUACUCAAUAUGAUUUAUCUUAUCUUACUGACUUAAUUUGAUUUAAUAAAUAAAAAUAAAUUAUUAAGGUUUGAAAUGUAAAAUUCAUGUUAGUUGCUUUUCUCUUUCGAAACGGCUUGAUCGAUUAUUAUGAAAUUUUAUAUGAAUAUUUACCAUACCCAUAUACCUAUAAAUUGUAGUGUGCGCGGAAGCGGAAGUCACCGCCUGAGCUAUGUGAGCGGCAGGGCGGGGGAGGUAGGCAAACGUCAAGCUCUUAGCUCACUCAGUCUGCCGUCAACCAUAUAUAUCGUGUGUGUCUUGUCAAUCGCGCUUCCUCCGUCUCACCCCCCCAACAUACCUCAGAAGGUGAAUAGCGCUUCCGCGCGCACUAUUUAUAUGGCGUAUUCAUAAUUCAUUUAUACGGUCGUAAUAAUUUUUAUAAUUAAUUUAUAAGGCGAUACAAUGUUUGCCAGAUCAGUGAUUUAUUAUUUUAAGAGUCUUACACUGGGUCUAAUGCAUUAUUAAUUCAAAUGUAUUACUUUCCAAAUUAUUUUUUUAAGCAGCCUUAAUACUGGCUGUAUGCGGGCAAUAAAAUUUGUGUAUAUAAUGUUCAGAUGUUAUGUUACAUGUUAAUAAUCUUGUAUUGAUUUAUAUAAAAUUCCAUAAAUUAAA